rnacentral:rRNA from 1 species
UACGUAGGGGGCAAGCGUUGUCCGGAAUUAUUGGGCGUAAAGAGCGCGUAGGCGGUCCGGUAAGUCGGCUGUGAAAGUCAAGGGCUCAACCCUUGAAAGCCGGCCGAUACUGUCGGACUAGAGUCCGGAAGAGGCGAGUGGAAUUCCCGGUGUAGCGGUGAAAUGCGCAGAUAUCGGGAGGAACACCAAUGGCGAAGGCAGCUCGCUGGGACGGUACUGACGCUGAGGCGCGAAAGCUAGGGGAGCAAACAGG